AGGAUCCGAGCGUUAUCCGGAUUUAUUGGGUUUAAAGGGAGCGUAGAUGGAUGUUUAAGUCAGUUGUGAAAGUUUGCGGCUCAACCGUAAAAUUGCAGUUGAUACUGGAUGUCUUGAGUGCAGUUGAGGCAGGCGGAAUUCGUGGUGUAGCGGUGAAAUGCUUAGAUAUCACGAAGAACUCCGAUUGCGAAGGCAGCCUGCUAAGCUGCAACUGACAUUGAGGCUCGAAAGUGUGGGUAUCAAACAGGAUUAGAUACCCUGGUAGUCCACACGGUAAACGAUGAAUACUCGCUGUUUGCGAUAUACGGCAAGCGGCCAAGCGAAAGCGUUAAGUAUUCCACCUGGGGAGUACGCCGGCAACGGUGAAACUCAAAGGAAUUGACGGGGGCCC
rnacentral:rRNA from 1 species